AACGAACGCUGGCGGCAUGCCUAACACAUGCAAGUCGAACGAGACCUUCGGGUCUAGUGGCGCACGGGUGCGUAACGCGUGGGAACCUACCCUUAGGUUCGGAAUAACUCCCCGAAAGGGGUGCUAAUACCGGGUAAUGUCUUCGGACCAAAGAUUUAUCGCCUUUGGAUGGGCCCGCGUUGGAUUAGCUUGUUGGUAGGGUAAAAGCCUACCAAGGCGACGAUCCAUAGCUGGGCUGAGAGGAUGAGCAGCCACACUGGGACUGAGACACGGCCCAGACUCCUACGGGAGGCAGCAGUGGGGAAUAUUGGACAAUGGGCGAAAGCCUGAUCCAGCAAUGCCGCGUGAGUGAUGAAGGCCUUAGGGUUGUAAAGCUCUUUUACCCGGGAUGAUAAUGACAGUACCGGGAGAAUAAGCACCGGCUAACUCCGUG
rnacentral:rRNA from 1 species